rfam:Cupriavidus sp. SK-3 Scaffold174, whole genome shotgun sequence.
CCUGCUAUGCGACUAGCAGUAGCCUAGGGAGACAUGCGUCACUGGUAACGGUGGGGUGUGAAGCUCUCCUGACAAUGUAGCCCCCGCAAGGGUGCCAGUUCGCCGUGAGGCGGACCGGUAGAGAUUCCGAGUAGCAACGGGUCGAGGAG